rnacentral:lncRNA from 1 species
AGUGGGAGGCCAAAGGAAAGCCCUAAGGGAACAAGUGCAGAACAGGAUAAUCGGUUCAGCAACAAACAGAAGAAACUACUGAAGCAGCUGAAAUUUGCAGAAUGCCUAGAAAAAAAGGUGGACAUGAGCAAAGUAAAUUUGGAGGUUAUAAAGCCUUGGAUAACAAAAAGAGUAACGGAAAUCCUUGGGUUUGAAGAUGAUGUUGUGAUUGAGUUUAUAUUCAACCAGCUGGAAGUGAAGGCCUGAACCAAAAUGGAAGUUAUUCCUUGCGUCUGAAGUAUAGCACCAUCACCUUAUUAGGUCACAGCAGAGUGAGUGUCCCAAUGUCGCUCUGACCCAACUCCCUUGAUGAUGCAGUGUGUGUUUGGAGAAUCCAGACUCCAAAAUGAUGCAAAUCAACCUGACUGGAUUUUUGAAUGGAAAAAAUGCUCGAGAAUUUAUGGGAGAACUGUGGCCCCUGCUGCUAAGUGCACAAGAAAACAUCGCGGGAAUCCCUUCUGCUUUCCUAGAACUGAAGAAAGAAGAAAUAAAACAAAGACAGAUUGAACAAGAAAAACUGGCAUCUAUGAAAAAGCAAGAUGAAGACAAAGAUAAAAGAGAUAAGGAAGAAAAAGAAAGCAGCAGAGAAAAAAGGGAGCGGUCUCGUAGCCCAAGAAGACGCAAAUCCAGAUCUCCUUCCCCUAGAAGACGAUCUUCCCCUGUCAGGAGAGAGAGAAAGCGCAGUCAUUCUCGAUCUCCCCGUCACAGAACCAAGAGCCGGAGUCCUUCCCCUGCUCCAGAAAAGAAGGAAAAAACUCCAGAGCUCCCAGAACCUUCAGUGAAAGUAAAAGAACCUUCAGUACAAGAGGCUACUUCUACUAGUGACAUUCUGAAAGUUCCCAAACCUGAACCUAUACCAGAGCCUAAAGAACCUUCUCCGGAAAAAAAUUCCAAAAAAGAAAAGGAGAAGGAGAAGACCCGACCACGAUCUCGGUCACGCUCCAAAUCAAGAUCCCGGACGCGGUCCCGCUCUCCUUCUCACACUCGACCUAGACGGCGCCAUAGAUCCCGAUCAAGAUCGUAUUCACCUAGAAGGCGGCCAAGCCCAAGAAGGCGGCCAUCUCCUCGAAGAAGAACUCCGCCAAGAAGAAUGCCUCCUCCACCAAGGCACAGAAGGAGUAGAUCUCCAGUAAGACGAAGAAGACGUUCGUCAGCAUCCUUGUCUGGGAGUAGCUCAUCAUCCUCUUCAUCUCGUUCACGGUCACCACCAAAGAAGCCUCCCAAGAGGACAUCCAGCCCCCCUCGGAAAACUCGUAGGUUAUCUCCUUCAGCAAGUCCUCCAAGGCGAAGGCACAGGCCAUCACCUCCUGCAACUCCACCACCCAAAACUCGGCAUUCCCCUACACCCCAGCAGUCAAACCGUACAAGAAAAAGUCGUGUUUCUGUGUCUCCAGGGAGAACUUCAGUGACAAAACAUAAAGGUACUGAGAAAAGAGAAUCCCCUUCACCAGCACCGAAGCCUAGAAAAGUAGAGUUAUCUGAAUCGGAAGAUAAAGGUGGCAAAAUGGCUGCAGCAGAUUCUGUGCAGCAGAGACGCCAAUACAGACGACAAAACCAGCAGUCUUCAUCUGACUCUGGCUCCUCCUCCUCCUCAGAAGAUGAACGACCCAAGAGAUCCCAUGUGAAGAAUGGUGAGGUUGGCAGGCGGCGGAGACAUUCCCCUUCCCGGAGUGCUUCUCCAUCACCACGAAAGCGCCAAAAAGAGACUUCCCCUCGGAUGCAGAUGGGAAAGCGAUGGCAAUCGCCAGUGACUAAAAGUGGUAGACGGAGGAGAAGUCCAUCCCCACCACCCACCAGAAGGCGACGGUCUCCUUCUCCCGCCCCUCCUCCUCGACGGCGCAGGACUCCCACACCACCACCACGACGAAGGACUCCUUCUCCUCCCCCACGUCGGCGCUCACCUUCUCCUAGAAGAUACUCUCCUCCAAUACAGAGGAGAUACUCUCCUUCUCCACCUCCAAAGAGAAGAACGGCUUCACCUCCUCCCCCUCCUAAACGAAGAGCAUCACCAUCUCCACCACCAAAGCGGCGGGUCUCCCAUUCUCCACCUCCCAAACAAAGAAGCUCCCCAGUCACCAAGAGACGUUCACCUUCAUUAUCAUCCAAGCAUAGGAAAGGGUCUUCCCCAAGCCGCUCUACCAGGGAGGCCCGAUCACCACAACCAAACAAACGGCAUUCGCCCUCACCACGGCCUCGAGCUCCUCAGACCUCCUCAAGUCCUCCACCCGUUCGAAGAGGAGCGUCGUCAUCACCCCAAAGAAGGCAGUCCCCGUCUCCAAGUACUAGGCCCAUUAGGAGAGUCUCCAGGACUCCGGAACCUAAAAAGAUAAAAAAGGCUGCUUCCCCAAGCCCACAGUCUGUAAGGAGGGUCUCAUCCUCCCGAUCUGUCUCCGGGUCUCCUGAGCCAGCAGCUAAAAAGCCCCCAGCACCUCCAUCCCCCGUCCAGUCUCAGUCACCGUCUACAAACUGGUCACCAGCUGUACCGGUCAAAAAGGCCAAAAGCCCAACACCGAGCCCAUCACCGCCAAGAAAUUCAGAUCAGGAGGGAGGUGGAAAGAAAAAGAAGAAAAAGAAGGACAAGAAACACAAAAAGGAUAAGAAGCACAAGAAGCACAAAAAACACAAGAAGGAAAAGGCUGUGGCUGCAGCUGCUGCAGCUGCUGUGACCCCUGCAGCCAUUGCAGCUGCCACAACCACAUUAGCACAGGAAGAGCCAGUGGCAGCGCCAGAGCCGAAGAAGGUAUUUAGGAACUCUGUAUAUGGCUGUCUUGCAGUUUACGUACAGAUAGCAAAGUCAUUUUGUUUUGAGAAGU